GAUAGCUGGUGGAGUGUAAACAAAUGGUUAACGUCUUUGUGCGAAUAUUAUCAUUUUUUCAUUAUGUCAUUAUGUUUGGUUCUUAAAACAUUACUUCUGAAGGAUCCAAAAUAUUAUGCGUAUCCUGUUGUAUUUGACCUUAAAAUGGUGGACACUGAAAUGACCCAAAUGAAUAACAUUAGGGUACUUUCAAUUAACAUUUAAUGGACAAGUUUGCUCACCCAGCAAAAUCAAAAAAAGAAAGAAUUGUUCGUAAAAUUUGCGUGAGGUUCAGGUAUCUUUGCAGCUUUGUCGAAUUUGAAAAAUUGCCUAAUAUGUUUACAAGAAGUAAUACUGUAUGUCUUCAGUAAAGAGGUUGAAAAAAAAAAUGAAGGAAGAUAAGAAACUAGGCAUUGACACACCAUGGCAGUAUCCUGCUUUCAUCGGAAUGAAGAGUCCCAACUCCCAACCUUCCCCAAACACCAAAUUAUAAGCAGUGGCUAUUAAUAUUGCAACCAGUGCUGACGGAGAUGACAAAAUGGCAGACAAGAAUAGGAGAAGCCGACUAUCCAGUGCUUCCUGGCAUUGCAGCAAUGACAAGGUCAAACUAAUGACAAGAACCGAAGCUCAACAAAGCUGGCUUUUAAAGGAUGAGUGCAAAUAUGCCAAGAAUAUUAAAAAAUGAUUGAUGGUCACCCCCUGCCUUGUAGAAAAUCUGAAGACAUGCUUGUGUAAGCAAAUCUGAACAAUAAAAUUUCCAUUAUACAGAGUAUAUACUGAUAGAAAAACUCUGCUUUGUGUUAUUGAUGACUCACUGUUUAAUUGAGAAGCUAGCAAGCGUCAAGUAAAAAUUCAUCUUUGAAAUAAGAUAUUUGUAUUUUUCAAUGAUUUGUUGUGAUAACUGCAUUGCAAUUUGACUGAUGGAAAUUGAAUAUAACAUACUGGCAACUUAACAUACAGAUGACAUAUUGUAUGCAUAAGCAUAAUGUUCAUAAACAUAUGUACUACAACAUGUCACAACUUUCAAGAAAAUCUGGGAGAGCUGUUGCUAAAAGGCUGUUGAUUUUUUUUUCUUUUUUUUACCUCAAGUGAUUCAAACACAAGCUUACCACCAGCUUGAA